GGACAAUUUUCUUAGCCGAUUUUCAAUGGCUAAUUAUCUCACUUAUUAUGAUGGAUGGUGUUACUUAAUUUCCUACAGGUGUGUGCUAUAGAGUUUUCGUUUUAUUUUUCUUAAUCUGUAAAUAGGUCUUACACAUAUUUCCUUCCUUUGUCUAAAAAACACUUUGAUGAUAAAAAUAUUGGAUCAUCCUCCUUUUGUGGAUGGUAUAUGAUAGUAUAUGUACUUUUUCUUUUCUUUUGCUUUUGUGGUUUGUAGAUCUUUUUAUUUACAGGUUGUAAUUUUGGUUUGUUGAUUAAG
rnacentral:misc_RNA from 1 species